CAGAGAAAAUGGGAAAAAUAAUGCUAUAAAUACCCCCAGCAUUUGAAGGCAAUUCCUCACAACUCAACUGAAAUUACAAUUAAACAGCUUUAUCAAAUAAAAGAAGUUUAGGGAAAAAUUAAAAUGGAAAAAUCUACUUACUUUUUCAGCUUUCUUGCACUUUCUCUCGUUUUCAUGCUUGUUAUAAGCACUGAAAUGCAAACUGCGGAAGCAAAGAGUCCAUGCGGAUGGAUACACAGGGGUAAGGCACCUUGUUUCUUUGGUGAUUGUAAGGAAAAGUGCAGGGAUUUCUACGGAGCUAAAACCGGAAGAUGCACUUAUGCUAAACGUACUUUUGGUUGCUUUUGUAACUAUGGUUCUUGCAAGCGUCACUGAUCCGCUUAACUUCAUAUAAACCUUAUUAUAUAUCCAAGGAUGAAUGAUUACGACUAAUUAUCAUCAUACUACGUAUAAUAUAUAUCCAGUGUGAUUUUAACUUUUGUACUAUGAUUUUCAACCAAUGUAACAUAUAUAUAUAUAUAUAUAUAUACAAAUUUGUUCGUGUGUGUUCAAAUUUAAUACCUAUGUAACCGAUAUAACUUUGAAUAAGACUUUUGAUAACAUAAA